GUCAACGGCCAUACCACGCAGAAAAAACCUGGUCUCGUCAGCUCCCAGAAGUUAAGCUGCGUCGGGUCCCGUUAGUACCUAGAAGGGUGACCGCUUGGGUAAUACGGGAUGCUGUUGGCA
rfam:Daphnia magna strain Xinb3 contig39107, whole genome shotgun sequence.